GACGAACGCUGGCGGCGUGCUUAACACAUGCAAGUCGAGCGGUAAGGCCCUUUCGGGGUACACGAGCGGCGAACGGUGAGUAACACGUGGUGACCUGCCCUCAGCUCUGGGAUAAGCCUGGAAACCGGGUCUAAUACUGGAUAUGACUCCAUGACGCAUGUUGUGGGUGAAAGCCUUGUGCGGCUGAGGAUGGGCCCGCGGCCUAUCAGCUUGUUGGUGGGGUGANGGCCUACCAAGGCGACGACGGGUAGCCGGCCUGAGAGGCGACCGGCCACACUGGGACUGAGACACGGCCCAGACUCCUACGGGAGGCAGCAGUGGGGAAUCUUGCGCAAUGGGCGAAAGCCUG
rnacentral:rRNA from 1 species